rnacentral:ncRNA from 1 species
AAAAGACUUAGUCCUAACCUUACUGUUGGUCUCUACUAGAUCUAUACAUGCAAGUAUCCGCGACCCGGUGUGAAUGCCCUCAGCCUCUUACUAAGACAGAAGGAGCUGGCAUCAGGCUCGCUCGCGCAGCCCACAACGCCUUGCUCAGCCACACCCCCACGGGUCCUCAGCAGUAACUAACAUUAAGCAAUAAGUGUAAACUUGACUUAGUUGAAGUAGACCAGGGUCGGUAAAUCUUGUGCCAGCUACCGCGGUCACACAAGAGACCCAAAUCAACCGUAUACGGCGUAAAGAGUGGCCCAAGACCCAUCCACACUAACUGGGGCCAAAUUGCAACUAAGCCGUCAUAAGCCCAUGAUGCACCAAAAUCCAUUAUUAAAAUAGCCCCAGCAUUAAGGAUAUAUCUUCCCCACGAAAGCCAGGGAACAAACUGGGAUUAGAUACCCCACUAUGCCUGGCCCUAAAUCCUGACGCUUGACUCCACCUGAGCGUCCGCCUGGGAACUACGAGCACAAACGCUUAAAACCCUAAGGACUUGGCGGUGCCCCAAAACCCCCUAGAGGAGCCUGUUCUGUAAACGAUAACCCACGCUACACCCCACCCCUCCUCGCCUAGAGCAGCCUAUAUACCGCCGUCGCCAGCCCACCUUCCAUGAAAGUACAACAGUGGGCCCAAUAACCCAUCCCGUUAACAAGACAGGUCAAGGUAUAGCCCAUGGAGGGGAAGAAAUGGGCUACAUUUUCUAACUUAGACCACACGGAAGAAGGGCCUGAAACAGCCCUCAGAAGGAGGAUUUAGCAGUAAGACAUGAUAAUCAUGCCUGUCUUAAGCUGGCUCUGGGACACGUACAUACCGCCCGUCACCCUCCUCGCAAGCCAUAGCCUCUACUAAUUAAUCCUUCAACUAGCUGAAGAUGAGGUAAGUCGUAACAAGGUAAGUGUACCGGAAGGUGCACUUAGAAUACC